CUGGGCUGUGGGAGCUCCCAGCUCUCUGCUCAGACAGGGCUGAGGUCUCUGGGAAGGCAGGUGUGGUCUAGAAGAUGAGGCUGCUGGGUCUUGUCCUGUGCCUGGUCACAGCUCCCCAAGGUGUCCUGUGCCAGGUGCAGCUGCAGGAGUCAGGACCUGGCCUGGUGAAGCCCUCGCAGACCCUGUCCCUCACCUGUGCUGUCUCUGGAUUCUCCAUCACAACCAGUAGUUACCGCUGGAGCUGGAUCCGUCAGCCCCCAGGGAAGAGGCUGGAGUGGAUAGGAGGCAUACGUAAUGAUGGUGAUACUAAAUACAACCCAUCCCUCAAGAGCCGAGUGUCCAUCUCCAGAGACACGUCCAAGAACCAGUUCUCCCUGCAGCUGAGCUCCAUGACCACCGAGGACACGGCCACCUAUUACUGUGCCAGAGCCACAGUGAGGGGACCUCAGUGUGAGCCCAGACACAAACCUCCUGCAGGGUGCCCAGGGCCAGCAGGGGGCGCUCUGCACACAGGAGCUCAGGUGCCCCCUUCAGAGCAGCAGAGGAGAGUGGAUGGUUUCUCUCCAGAGUUAGCCCCACAGGUGCUGUCAGAUUGGCUGUUGGGUGACUAUUUCAGCUCCCAGAUCUGA